rnacentral:rRNA from 1 species
UACAGAGACUGCAAGCGUUAUUCGGAUUCACUGGGCGUAAAGGGUGCGCAGGCGGCCAAGUGUGUGAGGCGUGAAAGCCCGAAGCUUAACUUCGGAAUUGCACCUCAAACUACAUGGCUAGAGCAUUGGAGAGGGUAGCGGAAUUCACGGUGUAGCAGUGAAAUGCGUAGAUAUCGUGAGGAACACCAGAGGCGAAGGCGGCUGCCUGGACAAUUGCUGACGCUCAGGCACGAAAGCGUGGGGAGCAAAAGGG